CACGUAGGGCGCAAGCGUUGUCCGGAUUUAUUGGGCGUAAAGAGCUCGUAGGCGGCUUGUCGCGUCGUCUGUGAAAUCCCACGGCUCAACUGUGGGCUUGCAGUCGAUACGGGCAGGCUGGAGUUCGGUAGGGGAGACUGGAAUUCCUGGUGUAGCGGUGAAAUGCGCAGAUAUCAGGAGGAACACCGGUGGCGAAGGCGGGUCUCUGGGCCGAUACUGACGCUGAGGAGCGAAAGCGUGGGGAGCGAACAGG
rnacentral:rRNA from 1 species